AUCGAACGCUGGCGGCAGGCUUAACACAUGCAAGUCGAACGAGUGGCGGACGGGUAGGUACUGCUUGUGAAUCUAGCCUAUGGUGGGGGAUAACUACGGGAAAGUUUAGCUAAUACCGCGUACCAUAGGAGGAGCCCAAGUGGGAUUGGGUCGUUGGUGAGGUGAAGGCUCACCAGGCCAACGCGCACUAGCUGGUCUGAGAGGAUGACCGGCCACAAGGGAACUGUGACACGGCCCAGACGCCUACGGGAGGCAGCGGGGGGGAAGAUGGGGAAAGGGGGGCAACCUGACGCAGCCAUGCCGCGUGAAUGAAGAAGGCCUUCGGGUUGUAAAGUUCUUUAGGUAGCGAGGCGUUAGCUACAGAAGAAGCACCGGCUAACUCCGUGCCAGCAGCCGCGGUAAUUC
rnacentral:rRNA from 1 species